rnacentral:rRNA from 1 species
UACAGAGGGGGCAAGCGUUGUUCGGAAUUACUGGGCGUAAAGGGCGCGUAGGCGGCCUGUUAAGUCGAACGUGAAAUCCCCGGGCUCAACCCGGGAACUGCGUCCGAUACUGGCAGGCUUGAAUCCGGGAGAGGGAUGUGGAAUUCCAGGUGUAGCGGUGAAAUGCGUAGAUAUCUGGAGGAACACCGGUGGCGAAGGCGGCAUCCUGGACCGGUAUUGACGCUGAGGCGCGAAAGCCAGGGGAACAAACGGG